rnacentral:SRP_RNA from 1 species
AGCUGUAAUGGCUCAUUUGGAAGACUUGUCACACAGCGGCUUGUGAACUAGAUAAAAUAUAUGUGUCAAGCUCUGCCCGCUUGGAGCUGCUGGUGUAGAGAUACUCGCGCAGGAAACUCGCGAAUGAUAUCUCUUCCUAAGAGUUAAUUGUAUUCCCUAGAGAGUUUUCACUCAGCAAGGAACAGUUCCCCAGAAGCUAGCAUUGUCGGAAUACAGGGUGAGAUAUCCAGAUCACAGCUGCGCAAGACUAUGUCAACCAAUUAAUU